AAUGGGCGAAAGCCUGAUGCAGCAACGCCGCGUGAGUGAAGAAGGCCUUCGGGUUGUAAAGCUCUGUCUUUUGGGACGAUAAUGACGGUACCAAAGGAGGAAGCCACGGCUAACUACGUGCCAGCAGCCGCGGUAAUACGUAGGUGGCAAGCGUUGUCCGGAUUUACUGGGCGUAAAGGAUGCGUAGGUGGAUAUUUAAGUGGGAUGUGAAAUACCCGGGCUCAACUUGGGUGCUGCAUUCCAAACUGGAUGUCUAGAGUGCAGGAGAGGAAAGUGGAAUUCCUAGUGUAGCGGUGAAAUGCGUAGAGAUUAGGAAGAACACCAGUGGCGAAGGCGACUUUCUGGACUGUAACUGACACUGAGGCAUGAAAGCGUGGGGAGCAAA
rnacentral:rRNA from 1 species